GCAGCAGUGGGGAAUAUUGCACAAUGGGCGCAAGCCUGAUGCAGCGACGCCGCGUGAGGGAUGACGGCCUUCGGGUUGUAAACCUCUUUCAGCACAGACGAAGCGCAAGUGACGGUAUGUGCAGAAGAAGCACCGGCCAACUACGUGCCAGCAGCCGCGGUAAUACGUAGGGUGCGAGCGUUGUCCGGAAUUACUGGGCGUAAAGAGCUCGUAGGUGGUUUGUCGCGUUGUUCGUGAAAACUCACAGCUUAACUGUGGGCGUGCGGGCGAUACGGGCAGACUGGAGUACUGCAGGGGAGACUGGAAUUCCUGGUGUAGCGGUGGAAUGCGCAGAUAUCAGGAGGAACACCGGUGGCGAAGGCGGGUCUCUGGGCAGUAACUGACGCUGAGGAGCGAAAGCGUGGGGAGCGAACAGGAUUAGAUACCCUGGUAGUCCACGCCGUAAACGGUGGGUACUAGGUGUGGGUUUCCUUCCUUGGGAUCCGUGCCGUAGCUAACGCAUUAAGUACCCCGCCUGGGGAGUACGGCCGCAAGGCUAAAACUCAAAGAAAUUGACGGGGGCCCGCACAAGCGGCGGAGCAUGUGGAUUAAUUCGAUGCAACGCGAAGAACCUUACCUGGGUUUGACAUGCACAGGACGUGCCUAGAGAUAGGUAUUCCCUUGUGGCCUGUGUGCAGGUGGUGCAUGGCUGUCGUCAGCUCGUGUCGUGAGAUGUUGGGUUAAGUCCCGCAACGAGCGCAACCCUUGUCUCAUGUUGCCAGCGCGUUAUGGCGGGGACUCGUGAGAG
rnacentral:rRNA from 1 species